rnacentral:ncRNA from 1 species
UUGAGCCGUGUGCUGGGAAACUCGCAUGCACGGUUCUUAGGGGGCGGCGGCGCAGCAAUGCGCCGCUGCUACCUGACGAGAAGGCGAUUGCGCACCCCAC